UAAAUAUUUAGGCAAACUUGCUGAAAGGCAAGGACGCAAAGCUAUGGGUCUAAGGACGUUGUCUAUGACCGCCAAGCCGCCAUU
rnacentral:ncRNA from 1 species